rnacentral:rRNA from 1 species
CAACUUUCAACAACGGAUCUCUUGGUUCUGGCAUCGAUGAAGAACGCAGCGAAAUGCGAUAAGUAGUGUGAAUUGCAGAAUUCAGUGAAUCAUCGAAUCUUUGAACGCACAUUGCACCUCUCGGUAUUCCGGGAGGUAUGCCUGUUCGAGCGUCAUU